rnacentral:rRNA from 1 species
UACGUAGGGCGCAAGCGUUUAUCCGGAAUUAUUGGGCGUAAAGAGCUCGUAGGCGGUUUGUCGCGUCUGCUGUGAAAACCUAAGGCUCAACCUUGGGCUUGCAGUGGGUACGGGCAGACUAGAGUGCGGUAGGGGGUGACUGGAAUUCCUGGUGUAGCGGUGGAAUGCGCAGAUAUCAGGAGGAACACCGGUGGCGAAGGCGGGAUCCUGGGCCAGUACUGACGCUGAGGAGCGAAAGCGUGGGGAGCAAACAGG